CCUACGGGAGGCAGCAGUGGGGAAUAUUGGGCAAUGGAGGAAACUCUGACCCAGCGACGCCGCGUGCGGGAUGAAGGCCUUCGGGUUGUAAACCGCUUUCAGUAGGGAAGAAGCGAAAGUGACGGUACCUACAAAAGAAGCACCGGCUAACUAUGUGCCAGCAGCCGCGGUAAUACAUAGGGUGCAAGCGUUGUCCGGAAUUAUUGGGCGUAAAGAGCUCGUAGGUCGUUUGUUACGUCGGAUGUGAAAACCUGAGGCUCAACCUCAGGCCUGCAUUCGAUACGGGCAAACUAGAGUUUGGUAGGGGAGACUGGAAUUCCUGGUGUAGCGGUGGAAUGCGCAGAUAUCAGGAGGAACACCAAUGGCGAAGGCAGGUCUCUGGGCCAAUACUGACACUGAGGAGCGAAAGUCUGGGGAGCGAACAGGAUUAGAUACCCUGGUAGUCCAGACCGUAAACGGUGGGCACUAGUUGUGGGAACCUUCCACGGUUUCUGCGACGCAGCUAACGCAUUAAGUGCCCCGCCUGGGGAGUACGAUCGCAGAUUAAAACUCAAAGGAAUUGACGG
rnacentral:rRNA from 1 species